UCUCGCUAAAAAAAAUGUAUGGUAAAUUAGGCAUUUAGAACAAAAUGAUAUAAUCGACAAAUAGUCUAAAAAUAAAACAUUUCCGAAUAUAUUUAAAUCAAGCUAAACGACAUUUGACAAGUCUCAAUGUAUACGAAAUACUUGUCGAUUCUCUUCCUACUAAAAAAUUGUGAAUGAUGGAUGAUUUAUUUACUGAUUUUUCUCAGCUUUCGUAGUUGUAAUUGUUAUGUUUCGUUCGACGUUCAUUCCAAAAAUAUUUACUUUAAACGUAGUUAAUAAGCAAGGCUAAUGUAGCUAACAUACUAUAGUUUGUUCAACAUAAUAAAUGUUAAAUUAUA